GCAAGAUGGCGGCGGCGGAGGCAGCUGGAAGUGGGGGGAGUCCUGCGCUGUCCUCGGGAGGGGAAGAGCCACCAGCGGGCCCCGAGUCGCCGGCAGAGGAGGCGGUGUCAGCGGGGCCGAGCGCGGGGUUCCGGCUGACGGCGGUGCGGAGGGAGCCGGCCGUGCGGCUGCAGCACGGCGUGAGCGGGCUGGAGCCGCUGGCCUGGUCUGAGGACCACCGGGUGUCGGUGAGCACGGCCCGGAGCAUCGCCGUGCUGGAGCAGCUCAGCGACAUUCACAGCGGCGGGCAGGAGCUGGUCAUCCACCGCACGGCCGUGCCCGCGCCCGCCGCGGGCUGCCUGCUCAAGGUUGGUUCAAGAAAGGAGGUUGCAGAAUGUAAGGAAAAGUUUGCAAACUCUAAGGAUCCAACUGUUAGUCAAACCUUUAUGCUAGAUAGAGUAUUCAACCCUGAGGGAAAGUCACUACCACCUAUGCGAGGAUUCAAAUAUUCCAGCUGGUCUCCACUGGGCUGUGAUGCUAAUGGAAGAUGCCUUCUAGCAGCUCUAACUAUGGACAAUAGACUAACCAUCCAUGCUAAUCUCAACAGACUACAGUGGGUGCAGCUAGUUGAUCUGACAGAAAUUUAUGGGGAGCGUCUGUAUGAAACCAGUUACAAACUUUCUAAGGCUGAGACUCACAGAGGAGAACUAGGGGACUUUGCAGAAUUUCAGAGACGACAUAGCAUGCAGACUCCAGUCCGUAUGGAGUGGUCAGGUAUCUGCACCACCCAGCAGGUGAAACACAACAAUGAAUGCCGAGAUGUUGGCAGUGUACUCCUAGCUGUACUCUUUGAAAAUGGAAACAUUGCCGUUUGGCAAUUUCAGCUUCCUUUUGUGGGUAAGGAAUCCAUCACUUCUUGCAAUACCAUAGAGUCAGGAAUAAAUUCCCCUAGCGUCUUGUCUUGGUGGGAAUAUGAACACAAUAACCGAAAGAUGAGUGGACUCAUUGUAGGGAGCGCUUUUGGACCGGUUAAAAUCCUUCCUGUGAACUUAAAAGCAGUUAAAGGCUACUUCACACUCAGGCAACCUGUUGUCUUAUGGCAAGAAAUGGACCAGUUGCCAGUACACAGUAUCAAAUGUAUUCCUCUCUACCAUCCUUACCAGAAAUGUAGCUGUAGCUUAGUGGUGGCUGCAAGAGGGUCUUAUGUGUUUUGGUGUCUUCUCUUGAUAUCCAAAGCAGGUUUGAAUGUCCAUAAUUCCCAUGUGACAGGGCUUCACUCUUUACCAAUUGUAUCCAUGACUGCGGAUAAACAGAAUGGCACAGUAUACACAUGUUCAAGUGAUGGAAAGGUAAGGCAACUGAUUCCCAUCUUCACAGGUGUUGCAUUAAAGUUUGAGCAUCAGCUUAUUAAGCUGUCUGAAGUGUUUGGCUCUGUGCGGACUCACGGGAUAGCUGUAAGCCCAUGUGGUGCAUACCUAGCAGUUAUUACAACAGAGGGCAUGACCAAUGGCCUUCACCCUGUAAACAAAAACUAUCAAGUUCAGUUUGUAACUCUCAAAACAUUUGAGGAGGCAGCCGCUCAGCUCUUGGAGUCUUCUGUGCAAAAUCUUUUUAGACAAGUGGACCUGACAGACCUUGUGCGCUGGAAGAUUUUGAAGAAUAAGCAUAUCCCUCAAUUCUUACAAGAAGCCUUGGAUAAAAAGAUUGAGAGCUGUGGAUCCACUUACUUUUGGCGUUUUAAGCUAUUCCUCUUGAGAAUUUUGUACCAGUCAAUGCAGAAAACUCCCUCCGAGGUUAUGUGGAGGCCUUCGCAUGAGGACACAAAAGUAUUAAUAUCGGAUUCUCCUGGAAUGGGCAGUACUGAGGAUGAUCAUCAAGAAGAGGGAACUUCAAAACAGGCCAGCAAGCAGAGUUUGUGUGAAGUGAGCAAAGGAACGGACCCAGAUGACCCAGCAGAUGACACUCUUGCCCACUCAAGUGACGUAGGAGGACAUGAGCCAAUGGAAGAGAAGCUCCUUGAAAUACAGGCACGAAUAGAAGCAGUAGAAAUGCACUUGACACGGGAACACAUGAAGCGGGUUUUGGGAGAAGUCUACUUGCAUACAUGGAUUACAGAGAACACCAGCAUUCCUACCAGAGGAGUCUGUGAUUUCUUAAUGUCUGAUGAAGGCUAUGAUGACAGAACAGCACGAGUGCUGAUUGGGCAUAUCUUAAAGAAAAUGAACAAACAGACUUUCCCAGAGCACUGCAGCUUGUGUAAAGAGAUCCUGCCAUUCACAGAUCGCAAACAAGCGGUCUGCUCCAACGGCCACAUUUGGCUCAGGUGCUUUUUAACCUACCAGGCCUGCCAGAGUUUGGUAUACAGAAGGUGUCUGCUUCAUGACAGCAUUGCGCGGCAUCCAACCCAAGAAGAUCCUGAAUGGAUCAAGAGGUUAUUGCAAGGACCUUGUACUUUCUGUGAUUCUCCUGUGUUCUAGAGAAAGCUGUGGGAAGCUUGAAGACAUUUUCUCUACUGUAUAAAACUCCAUUCAGUCUGGAAGGAGGCAGAAGGCUUAGUGGUUGUAAAAUCUACUGGUCCACUGAAAUGUUUCUAGGUCUGGCAGACCAGAAGGCAUUAGACCUAAACUCAUUAUUCUGAUUACUGACUUGCUUUAAUUAUGGUAUAAUUUUGGCAGCUGUUCUCUCAAACUGCCCUAGCUAGAGCCUAAUGCUUUAUAUACUUGGGAGGUAAGAGUCCAAGCUGCUUUCAGCAUUGGUGUUUAGCUUCAGAAAUUUUCAAGGUAGUAGACACUCAAAUUAGAUUUACUUGGUGGGGGUAUAUGGUGGCAGAUGGGAUGAUGAGAUUUUAAAGUCUUCCCAUAACCUGCAGUUUACAUGCCACUGGAUAGCUGAGUGUCUCAGAUUUCCUUGUGGAAGCAGCUUUUGUUUCUUAUUGCUAUGGGUCAAGAGGUACAGUGGGUUUUAAAGCCAUUGCAUUUUUUUAGCAAUUAGUUGAGAGCUGAAUAAAAUAGCAAGUUUCAGACAAGUAGAGUCCCACUGGAUUUUUUUUCCUCCCUCCCCUACUUAUCUUCUCAGAACUUCCCUCUAGUGAAAUAACUUGUAGCUGUUGAGUAGUGCCCAUCACUUGCCAUUCUAGGAAUAGGUUUAGUCCUAUUUCUCUGGAGCAUUGAAACAAGCUGCAGAAUCUACAUCAACAGCCCAAGCAUUGCUCUUCCUAAAUACGUUAUUGUGGAAUAGUGUCUCUCCCUGGAACAUUUAACAGUAGAUUGGACAGAGUCCCAGUUCAAAAGGGAACAGUUUUGCACAAGAACUACUUUCCUCUGGGAGGGUACUUGGAAUUGUCCCCAGCAGCUCGUGGGAGCACUACAUAAUUUCAAAAUGAGACUCAAGAGAAUGGAACAGUCAUUGUCUCAACUAUAGUCUGAGGAGCCCUUCCUGGGAGUCUGCAAGAUGAGAGCAAGCAGCUGGGGCUUAGGAGAGGCCAUGUGUAUCUCUCUGCUCCAUACUGUGAUUGUGCUGAAAUGUAGCAAAUACAGUCAGUAGUGUGGGGCUUGUACACCUGGCUAUGUAACUGCUGUGGCAUGUGUUGUCCUAGAGGAUUCCUCUGGAACCAUUCUGUGAUUAAAGCCAUGUGUAUGCUGCAGAGCAAAUGUGUUGGAGUAUGAAAUCAUGGUAGUCUGACUGUGGGGAAACAUGCCUGAAGUGAUCAGCACUCAGUCGCCUCUCUUUUUAAUUAACAGUUGAAUGAAAUGUAGUAGAAACUCCAUGGGACUAGCACCCCAAUACCAUGGUUAUGAGUGUGGUAGAUUCACAAGGCUAGAUUGGUCCUUCCUGGGAAAAAAUGCUAUACAAGCUGGGGGGCGGGGGGUGUUCUUUGCAGAAAUCCCCUCACCUUGUUCUCUUGUAGGGGUGGGAGACAGGAUUUGCCUCCUCAUGGCAGAAUUGUAUAUGAGGCUGCUAUUUCCACUCUAUAAAACAGAUUCUUAUACUUUGGGGUUUCAGUUUUUUAAACUAAUCUGUGGUUCCUUAAAGCAGUGGUUUUCAAUCUUUUUUUCAUUUGCUAACCUCUAAAAAAUUUUCAGUGGAGGUGUGGACCUCUUUGGAAAUCUUUGACAGUCUGCAGACCCCCCAGAUGUCCAUGGACUACAGGUUGAAAACCACUGCCUUAAAGCUGGGAAUGGGAAUAACGUACUCAUCCUUUUAACCCUCACAGUCAGAUUUAGAGAAUAGUCCAUGGAAAACCUUCAAAGCCAACUACAAACAAUCGACACCACAUGGAGGUAAAAGGGAACAUUAUAAAAGACGGGAUCGCUCUGUCUGUGAAUAAAGACAGAACAGAAGACUGAUUCAGUAUAUGACAGAAUGGAGAAAGACCCUCUACAUCCAUUCACUGAGGAGACAUCUUGUGGAGCGGGGGGUGUUUCUCAUGAAAGGUUGGAUCCUGGUCCCUGCAAAGCCAGCCAGCUCUGCAAGGGAAUGUAAGGAAACAUAAAUUACACUGCCUUACACAUCACCUCGGUAUUAGGUCUAGAACAGAGGUUCCCUAACUUUUCUUUUGCUGUGCCCUUCAACUUCCCGCCUGUCUGAGGCAGAAAGUGAAUCAUUAAAGGCCAUGGGUGGCUCACACCUAGGGUAGCAACAGGACCCCAGCUGGAGCCCAAAGGCAGUGUGGCUCAGAGCAGAACAGGGAUCCACUCCCUCCCUCACCUCGCCAAGAGCCUCUUGCUCCUGCAGGCUCCAGGGAGUUUAAAAUACAUGGGGCUGCACCUGGCCAGGAACCCUAGGCAGGGCAGCAACAAGGAGAGCAUGCAAGAAGUUCCCAGCAGUCUGUAAGAGGUAGAGCAGGAGAGGACCAAGCUGCUGCUGUGGUGGGGCAGGGCUGAGUGGGCUGUGUUCCCGCACCCUCCCCAGGUACUCCCUGUGUGCUCUCUCCACUACUGCCCUGCCCUGGCACACCGCAGCUCUGCCCCCUACCUCGCGGCCCUUAAUAACUUUGUUGCACUCCCUAGUUUGAAAACCAAUGGUCAAGAGCAUUUAAGUGACUUUCUCAUGUCUACCCAGUGAGUCGGAGGCACACCCUGAUUAGAACACAGGAGUUCCUGAUUUCCUGACCAAUGCUCAAAGCACCAGAAUAUGAUGGUUCCUGCUGGGAUUACAAUCUGGUCACAUCAAUCUAGGACCUAUAGUAUGCAGUGUUCGAUAUAAUGAACUCAGGCUUGUUUGGUGGUCUAGCAGUUGUACAAUGUAAUACCAUGUCUGGUGGAAUUUGACUUUGACAUUAACUUGAUCUUUCACUCCCCAAGCUGGCUGGAGAUGGGAAAUGCAAUGCUGCAAUUCCUCAGGAUACUCCUCCAACUAUAUGGGUUACCUUUACUGGCUACAUUGGGGUGGAGGUUCUACCUUAUGCCCCAUCUAUAUUACAAAAAUACCCUCU